UUUACAGAGCAGGAAGGAACAGAGAAGAGACCCUCCAGGAUCAUCCAGUACUGUGGAGGCACCUCCAGGGCAGCCUCCCCUUCUUCUGGCUCUCCUCGACCCACCUGGGAUGUACCUUUGCACUUGCCAAAGGACUUUUCCGUGGCGCAUCUUCUUUGAUUGUAAACUGAGCUAUGAGGGUCCUGUCUCAUGUAGCACACUGUAGCAUGAUGUCUGCUGAUGUGCCCACUACCCCAUACAGAGGGAAAAUAUGUGAGCCUGUCAGCUUUUUCUUCUCCAUCUGUGUCCAGCAUGGCCUCAGCAUAUGGAAGUUACUCAGGAUGGAACUUUCUGCUUUGCUGUAGGUAUUUGGAAAAUUGGAUAUUCAAUCACACAGCAGGCUUGACCAGCCUGGGAUUUUCCUCACUGAAGUUUCGACGGUACUGUUAUGGCCAGCACAGCCACUCCUGGAUGUAACUCUAGAAGGGAUUUUGAUGGCCAACAACCUUUCAUAGCUCUGCAGUCUUUGGGCAUCAGUCACCAGGGGAGUCUUGGCAAGCAGGUGGUUGAAAUGGGGGAAAGGGGCUGUCCUGUGUGAGGUGUUCUUCCUCCACUUCCAUCUCCCUAUCUAGGCUCUCCACCUCCCUCCUGAACCCCCACAAGGUUUUCCAGCUUCCUGAAGCUGUAUACUCCCUGGGUACCCAAGCCUUUCAUCUGUGUCCUCUCACCCUUUCUCCCAGUGAACCCCAUCCACAGAAUAGGUCCUGAUGCUGAGGAUUCUGUCUUCAAGCUUUUCUACCAAGAUUAACCUCCUCAAUGCCCUAGAGGGCAAAGUAUCCUGCUUUCUGUUACAGAGAGUCUAGCAGUCUAAAUGAAGAUUUAGCAUUAAUAGUUAACAAAACCUCAGAAUGCUCAAUGCUUUCUUUGCGUUUGAACAAAAGCUCCUUCAAACUCCUUAACUGCCUGGCUCUCACUUAAGGGUGGUACCACCCCUACACUUCACAUAGAAAUGGUUCAGGAGUUCUGGAUUGUCACAAUGACUGGGUGAGUCACUAUCAUUUAAUGGGCUAAGAGCAAGGACGUUCAAUGUUUUGCAUUGCAGAGGAUAGUGCUGCACAAUGAAUUGUCCCACCCAAACUGCCGAGAGAGCACUUGUUUAGAGAUACUGCAGGGAAAAUACCAACUGCAGCAGAGUCCUGAGAUAGAGAGGGGAGGUGCUCAUUUUGGGGAACAAAGAGCCUCCUGAGAAGUGGCUGCUUAUCCUUCAUGUACCCAAACCUGCCUCACAGCCUUCUCUAGUCUCCCCUGACUCUGCCCUCCUCUAUUCCCGGGCCCUGGUCCUGAGUAAUGCCAGGUGUAGGUCUGAAGAUUGGUAGGACCCAUCUCCACUGGCACGUGGUCUCUCCAGCUAAGGACAGAGUUGGGAAAAGAGACUCAAUAAGCUCUUGCUCCUUCUCACCUAACUCUGUUCAUGGCCUGAGCAAGGCUCCCACAGGGAGGGCAGUCUCCUGUCAGGGUAACGGGGUGGACCACUGCAGUUGCUAGAUGUAGCCCAAGGGUCCCCUUCAGACCAGUCAUGGAUGUUUUAAUGGCUCACUUGACCAAAGGGGGCACACAGCAACUGUGCAUUGACUCCUCCUCAGGGAGCCCCCAGUCAUUCGGAAAAAAAAUAUAUAUAUAUAUAUCCAUCUGGAGAAGUUUUACUUUCUAGGGGGAAGGCAGAGAGCGCGACUCCUAACCGACAUUUCAAGCAUGCAUGUCAAAGCCGUCAGUCUGGAGGGAGGCAGCUGGACCACACCUCCUCUGCCCCAGCGGCCUUUCCAGAUGGGUGGGGUAUGGGCUCAAACCCGCUCCUCUACAGGUGAUGGAUGAGACAGCAGAACAGAAGACAAAGUACUCAGGGUCCUUGGCUUCGAGCAACUGAAACUCGAACUUGCCAAGAAAGGAAUUUGUCUGCAACGUAUUGGGUACUUCAGCGAUUCGUCAAAAUGCAAUGAAGACCAGGUUCACAAAAUAGUACAGAACAAAAAGAAACUGGGAAGCCAUAGCCCAAAUCAGACCUCCACUGCCACGGCCACGCAGCGAGGCUGCAGGCUUCUCUGCCACACUGGACACUGGGUGUACCACAAGCUCCAGCAUCAUCCCAGUCCCUAGAGAGACCUCAUGCUAUUGCCAUCACCACUUCCAAGGCAGCCUCCCUCUUGUCCUCGCUUGUUUGUGCAGCAGCUCACAAGUCAAAUGGAUGCAGGUGAUUGGCCAAGCAUGGGACAAAUCCCUGCAGUCUAUUUCAAGGGAGACUGGAAAUGUGUCUGGUCUUUCCAGCUUCUGUAAUAGAAGUGGAUUCUGCCUUCUAUGGCAGUACAUACGAUAGGAGGUACACCAAACAUUGGAAAGAUUCGGUUGCUAGGCUGCCAAAAAUGGGCAAAUAUUUACUGCCCCAAAAAACCCAUAAUGGAAGUGGCUACAGAGAUGGCUAUUACAAGAAAUGCAUCCAGAUCAGUCAUGAAGUAACGUCACAGGUAUCGAUGGUGAAGACAAGAAAAUAUGGACACAAAAUAAAAUACUAAAUUCUGGGCCCUCAGGCUGAGACAACUGAGCAAAUUAAGAUUUUCUUAUCCUCCCCUCACAGAUUCUAAGAGGACUUAAAUUAACUAAAAUCACUUGCCUACAGUGACAUUGCCAAUUAGGAACAAGCAGAGACUAGAAUCUACCACCCACCACCAUGCCCCAAGCACAGUUCACCAGGUGCCCAGCCAGCUUUGUUGGUAAACACUGCCCAGUCCUGUGAGACACAAGCCCUGAGCAUCCACACUGAGAGCGUACAGACUUCUCCCUGAGUGUGUUGCUUAUAAUAAGCCAGUGUAAUGCACAUGGAUGAGCUGAAUUGAAUUACUCUUCCCAGUUCUUCACCUUUCCGUGCAUCCACACCUUUCCCACGGUCUCAUCUUGAGUCUUGCAUAUUUCUACUGGCACAUAUCUCUUGUGCCUCAGCUAUCACCAUGAGAACGUGCCCCCCCUAGCAAACUAGCUCAAGCAGACUCACAGACAGGUAGAGCACAGCUUUUCCAGCAGAACCCAGCCAGAUCAGCCAACCACUGGCCAAACUGCAGAUGGGCAAACAAAAAUAAGCCAUUACUCUUUUAAGCCACUGAGUUUUAUGACUGGUUUGGAAUGGAUUAAUU